UACGUAGGUGGCGAGCGUUGUCCGGAUUUACUGGGCAUAAAGGGAGCGUAGGCGGACUUUUAAGUGAGAUGUGAAAUACUCGGGCUCAACUUGAGUGCUGCAUUUCAAACUGGAAGUCUAGAGUGCAGGAGAGGAGAAUGGAAUUCCUAGUGUAGCGGUGAAAUGCGUAGAGAUUAGGAAGAACAUCAGUGGCGAAGGCGAUUCUCUGGACUGUAACUGACGCUGAGGCUCGAAAGCGUGGGGAGCAAACAGG
rnacentral:rRNA from 1 species